UUGUUUUUUUGGUAUAAACCAAUAGAGCAAUAAUGAAGGUUUGUGUUUGGUAAGGUUAUUUGCCGUUCCUCAGUACGUACCAACAUCAAACUUACCUUUCUCUCUUUAUCUGUUCAAUUUUCUCGCCCAUCCAUUUCUAGGGUUUCGCUUCUGCAGCAACGGGUAUGCCUUCUUACACACAUCAAAGCUGACUUUAUUAGGCAAUUCAAUCCGUCUUGAGAAGAUUCGUAGUUUUUUUUGUUCAUCAUCACAAUGUCCACAAUGGAAUAUCAUGAAGAUUUUAUCAGCUAUCUUGAUUCUGAUACGUCUCUUAAGAUACUUAUGUGCCUGGAUGAUCCUGCUGAUCUUGUUCGUGUGACCUGUGUCUCCCGAUCUUGGAGACAAUCUGUGAUUGCAAAUGGUCUUUGCAAGCAGCUGUGCUUGAGAAUGUUUCCUCAAUUAUCUAGAGUUGCUUUUGUUGUUGAACUCAAUCAACAUGGAGGGAAGGAAAAUGCAGAGGUUGGAUCUAGUAAUUCUAUGGAAUGGCUAGUGCUACAGAGAGAACAUAGAGUUUUUUCUUAUUUAGGUAAAGCUCUCAUGUCAUCUGUUGCAAUGAAUUGCAUUGCUAAGACAAUUGGUGCUUCUAGCACUGAUAACUUUCCUCAGGAGAGCAUUGAUAAUACACUUGAGCCAAGAGAUGUCAUUGGUGGUAGAUAUUCCUACUGGUCAAGUAACGGACAAAGUAAUCCCAAUGUGCCCGAGACAUUAACAUACGAGUUGGUCUCUCAAAUUUGUCUUAUUACAGAAAUCAAUAUCCAGCCUUUUCAAGCUUACUUUCAGCUGGGGUCACCAAUAUACUCCGCAAGCUCUGUUCGGUUUAAAAUGGGUCAUCCUAAAGCCUCUUUAGAUGCUGUAGAUGAUGAAUUGUUUGUGUGGACCUAUACUUCACCGGAGUUUCCAAUGUCUCAGGAAAACGAACUACAGAAGUUCAAGCUUCCAGAACCUGUGCUUUGUAUUGGGGGUAUCUUGCAGAUUGAGCUUUUGGGAAGAGUACAGAGACAAGAAAUGGAUGGUUUGUUAUACAUUUGUGUUUCCCAUGUUCAAGUUCUGGGAGGCUCAUUGUCACCACCGUUCAAUGUGGAAAUUCUUGAGCCCUCUGGAAUGUUUGUGUUGAAGAGGGACCAGCUGGCUAACCAUCAACCUGUAUUGACAUCUGGAAAUGAAUCUGAAGAUGCUUCCGAGGAGCCAAGAAUAAUGAGAGAUAUCCAACGAAUUGUGACUAUAUUGCGUGCACAAGGAGUAGGAGUCUUGGAAGAUGAGUGGGAUGAUGAAGAAUAUGAUAUUGAUGAUUUUGAUCCAGAAUUUGCCCUUUGAUCUUUGCUUGCUUUUAUGAUCCCCUCCCAAAUAAAGAAAAGGGAAAAAAAAAUUAUAAUCUCCCCAGAUAUGGUGUUGAACAAAUAUUGCGCCUUUUUUGUCUGAGGUUUAACAUGAUGCUUGAAACUUGAGCUCUCUCACAAGUCGUAAACUUGUAUCAUCUACCCAAUUAUGGGGUUUUAGCAUCUGAUGCUACGUGCUGACAACAUCAUUUGUCACAAACUAAGCAUGAUAAGUUAAUCGACUUCGUUCCUAAUUUAUUGUACUAACCUUUUGUUGUGUUUCGAAUUACGUGCUCGUGGAAGAAAAAAAUGAAUGCACUUUGAGCAAAUCUUUGGCUUUGGCUGAAAAUAACCUCAACUGGGAAGGAACUUCAGUGAUGUUAUUUUAUUACAUGUAUUGUCUAUGUAAAAAAUUUCCAAAUAUUUUAGAGAAUAUUAAUAUUAGUUUGCCUUGCGGAA